rnacentral:rRNA from 1 species
UACGGAGGGGCAAGCGUUGUUCGGAAUUACUGGGCGUAAAGGGCGCGCAGGCGGCUGCUCAAGUCAGGCGUGAAAGGCCUGGGCUCAACCCGGGAAUUGCGCUUGAGACUGGGCUGGCUUGAGUGCGGGAGAGGAUGGUGGAAUUCCCAGUGUAGAGGUGAAAUUCGUAGAUAUUGGGAAGAACACCGGUGGCGAAGGCGGCCAUCUGGACCGCAACUGACGCUGAGGCGCGAAAGCGUGGGGAGCAA